rnacentral:rRNA from 1 species
AUUGAACGCUGGCGGCAGGCCUAACACAUGCAAGUCGAACGGUAACAGGAAGCAGCUUGCUGCUUUGCUGACGAGUGGCGGACGGGUGAGUAAUGUCUGGGAAACUGCCCGAUGGAGGGGGAUAACUACUGGAAACGGUAGCUAAUACCGCAUAAAGUCGCAAGACCAAAGAGGGGGACCUUAGGGGCUCUUGCCCGCGGAUGUGCCCAGAUGGGAUUAGCUAGUAGGUGGGGUAACGGCUCACCUAGGCGACGAUCCCUAGCUGGUCUGAGAGGAUGACCAGCCACACUGGAACUGAGACACGGUCCAGACUCCUACGGGAGGCAGCAGUGGGGAAUAUUGCACAAUGGGCGCAAGCCUGAUGCAGCCAUGCCGCGUGUAUGAAGAAGGCCUUCGGGUUGUAAAGUACUUUCAGCGGGGAGGAAGGGAGUAAAGUUAAUACCUUUGCUCAUUGACGUUACCCGCAGAAGAAGCACCGGCUAACUCCGUG